rnacentral:rRNA from 1 species
AUUGAACGCUGGCGGCAUGCCUUACACAUGCAAGUCGAACGGUAACAGGUCAAGCUGACGAGUGGCGAACGGGUGAGUAAUAUAUCGGAACGUGCCCAGUCGUGGGGGAUAACGUAGCGAAAGCUGCGCUAAUACCGCAUACGAUCUGAGGAUGAAGGCGGGGGACUCGCAAGGGCCUCGCGCGAUUGGAGCGGCCGAUAUCAGAUUAGGUAGUUGGUGGGGUAAAAGCCCACCAAGCCGACGAUCUGUAGCUGGUCUGAGAGGUCGACCAGCCACACUGGGACGGAGACACGGCCCAGACUCCUACGGGAGGCAGCAGGGGGGAAUUUUGGACAAUGGGCGCAAGCCUGAUCCAGCCAUGCCGCGUGCAGGACGAAGGCCUUCGGGUUGUAAACUGCUUUUGUACGGAACGAAACGGCUCUCUCUAAUACGGGGGGCUAAUGACGGUACCGUAAGAAUAAGCACCGGCUAACUACGUGCCAGCCGCCGCCGUAAUAC